AAAGCACACUACUUGGAGGAAAAGGGAGAAGCAUUCACAUUUGAUGAAAUCUAUCACUUCAUGGUAUCCUAAAUUCGGGAGUAUGGCCCGGACUUUGAUAUCAACGGUUUUGUAAACUGUUGUACGAAGAGAUCAAUGGCAGAGUAAAACAUGCUGUCAUCUCGCUGAUUAAUCGAGAGCGUGAAGGAGAGCAAAUUGAUCGAACUUUGGUUAAGAAUGUUCUCCAUAUAUUUGCCGAGAUUGGAGUAGAGAAUAUGGAAUGUUACUUAAAUGAGUUCCGAAUUCCUUGUCGGGCAAGUUCCGACCCGCAUGAAGAAUGCUUACAGAGAAAGAAGGAUAGGGUUUUUUACAUUUAGCAUGGGGGAACGAGGACAAACAAAUAGAUUUGGAGCAAGUUAAACAGCUUAAGGACCAUAACCCAUGAUAAAAGAAGUGUGGAUAUUGCAGCACUGUUUGUGGAUUCUCAUGGCUCAUGAGAGAAGAAUUGAAGAGUUUUAAAGAAGGAAAACUUCCAAUGAAUUAGUCUUUAUUAUCCAAAGGACAAUUUGAGGAAAGCUAGUGCUUUGUUGCUAAACUGCUUAUACUGUUCAUUUCGCUUCAAAUCUUCGCCAUUUUCUCAUUUUGCUUUUUCUUUGCUAAUUUAUUGUAGAAUUGCGCCCAUAGCAUAUUAAAAAUCUCAAAUUUCUUUUUUUCUUUGGUCAUAUUUUUGCAUAACCUUAACUGAAAGAUGUCAAACCUAAA